UCAUCAAUGCCCUUAUGACUUGGCUACACACGUGCUACAAUGGCAGGUACAGAGGGCAGCUAGACAGUGAUGUUAAGCGAACCUCAAAAAGCCUGUCCCAGUUCGGAUUGCACUCUGCAACUCGAGUGCAUGAAGUUGGAGUUGCUAGUAAUCGCAGAUCAGAAUGCUGCGGUGAAUGCGUUCCCGGGUCUUGUACACACCGCCCGUCACACCAUGGAAGUUGGCAAUACCCGAAGCCUGUGAGCGAACCAUUUAGGACGCAGCAGUCGAAGGUAGGGUCAGUAACUUGGGUGAAGUCGUAACAAGGUAGCCGUAUCGGAA
rnacentral:rRNA from 1 species